AACGAACGCUGGCGGCAGGCCUAACACAUGCAAGUCGAGCGAGGACUUCGGUCCUAGCGGCGGACGGGUGAGUAACGCGUGGGAACGUGCCCUUUGCUUCGGAAUAGCCCUGGGAAACUGGGAGUAAUACCGGAUGAGCCCUUUGGGGGAAAGAUUUAUCGGCGAAGGAUCGGCCCGCGUUGGAUUAGGUAGUUGGUGGGGUAAUGGCCUACCAAGCCGACGAUCCAUAGCUGGUUUGAGAGGAUGAUCAGCCACACUGGGACUGAGACACGGCCCAGACUCCUACGGGAGGCAGCAGUGGGGAAUCUUAGACAAUGGGGGAAACCCUGAUCUAGCCAUGCCGCGUGAGCGAAGAAGGCCUUAGGGUUGUAAAGCUCUUUCAGCUGGGAAGAUAAUGACGGUACCAGCAGAAGAAGCCCCGGCUAACUCCGUG
rnacentral:rRNA from 1 species